UACGUAGGGGGCAAGCGUUGUUCGGAAUUACUGGGCGUAAAGGGCGCGUAGGCGGUUGGAUAAGUUGGUGGUGAAAACUCCGGGCUUAACUUGGAGCCUGCCAUCAAGACUGUCUGGCUAGAGUGCGAGAGGGGAAAGCGGAAUUCCUGGUGUAGCGGUGAAAUGCGUAGAUAUCAGGAGGAACACCGGUGGCGAAGGCGGCUUUCUGGAUCGCAACUGACGCUGAGGCGCGAAAGCUAGGGGAG
rnacentral:rRNA from 1 species